rnacentral:rRNA from 1 species
UACGUAGGUGGCUAGCGUUAUCCGGAUUUAUUGGGCGUAAAGGGAACGCAGGCGGUCUUUUAAGUCUGAUGUGAAAGCCUUCGGCUUAACCGGAGUAGUGCAUUGGAAACUGGGAGACUUGAGUGCAGAAGGGGAGAGUGGAACUCCAUGUGUAGCGGUGAAAUGCGUAGAUAUAUGGAAGAACACCAGUGGCGAAAGCGGCUCUCUGGUCUGUAACUGACGCUGAGGUUCGAAAGCGUGGGUAGCAAACAGG